CUUUAAAACAAGGGGUCUGUAUUCAUUCUUCUUGACUCUGGAUGGUCCUGUAAAUAUAUCAGAAAUUGUGCGAUUGUCAGUGCUUGGUUAGAAAACUGUAUUUGGCUUUCACCUGGUCUUUCUUUUGAGAUGAUUGUCAUUCAACUUACCCACCAUGCCGGGGAAGCCCAGAUUAGCUCAUGCAGAGUUCACAUGGAGAGGACCAGAGGGACCAGUAACUGAGACCAUCAAUCAAGAGACAGCAUCUGCUGCCAGGCUCAUAAAGGGAAAGAACCUUCAGCUCACUUCAGCUCCAGGCUCUGAACCCUUCCAACCAACCCUUAGAGAAACGGACUGAAUGAGAAUCACUGGACCACACGAAACAUCAAUAAACAGCAACUGUCUCGCAUGGAGGCCCAUGCCAGAAGACACCAAUGUUAGUUCAAUCUGAGAAUGACAGGCUUGGUUUAAAGAG